rnacentral:rRNA from 37 species
UAACGACUCUCGGCAACGGAUAUCUCGGCUCUCGCAUCGAUGAAGAACGUAGCGAACUGCGAUACUUGGUGUGAAUUGCAGAAUCCCGUGAACCAUCGAGUCUUUGAACGCAAGUUGCGCCCGAAGCCGUUUGGCCGAGGGCACGUUUGCCUGGGUGUCA